CCUGCCCCUAGAAACACAGCAGGUGUGGCUGCUGUGUCACAUGUGCAUCAGUAGGUGGCAGAGAGGACAGAGAGUGUGUCUACACUCAAUGUUCUAACCUGUGAACAUCUGAAGAAAGAAAGCCUGAUCAG